AACGAACGCUGGCGGCAGGCUUAACACAUGCAAGUCGAGCGCCCCGCAAGGGGAGCGGCAGACGGGUGAGUAACGCGUGGGAAUCUACCCAUCUCUACGGAAUAACGCAUGGAAACGUGUGCUAAUACCGUAUACGUCCUUCGGGAGAAAGAUUUAUCGGAGAUGGAUGAGCCCGCGUUGGAUUAGCUAGUUGGUGGGGUAAAGGCCUACCAAGGCGACGAUCCAUAGCUGGUCUGAGAGGAUGAUCAGCCACACUGGGACUGAGACACGGCCCAGACACCUGCGGAAGGCAGCAGUGGGGAAUAUUGGACAAUGGGCGCAAGCCUGAGCCAGCCAUGCCGCGUGAGUGAUGAAGGCCCUAGGGUUGUAAAGCUCUUUCACCGGUGAAGAUAAUGACGGUAACCGGAGAAGAAGCCCCGGCUAACUUCGUGCCAGCCGCCGCAGUAAGAC
rnacentral:rRNA from 1 species